GCCAAUGUAGCUCAGGCGGUUAGAGUACAUCCUUGGUAAGGAUGAGGUCACGGGUUCGACUCCCGUCAUUGGCU
rnacentral:tRNA from 1 species